rnacentral:lncRNA from 1 species
UUUAGACAUCAUAUAUUUUGACAGAAAUUGAAAGCAUAUAUUUUGAUAGCAUCAUCAUCAUCGUAAGCAAAUGGUUCACAACUCCUAAUGGUUCACAACAAGUGCAACACCAACUAAAUGGUUCACAACUCGAAAUGGUUCACAACAAAAGUAAAUGGUUCACAACACAAGUGCAACACCAACAAGUGCAAAUGCUUCACAACUCCAAAUGGCUCCGGUUCACAUCUUGGCGCCUCGUCCUCUCUUAGAAACUAGCUUCUUUCUUCUCGCAACUACAAAUUGCUCCGGGUCAUCCGACUCAUCGUCAUCGUC